rnacentral:rRNA from 1 species
CAGUAGCCACGGGAAUACAGAGGGUGCGAGCGUUAAUCGGAUUUACUGGGCGUAAAGCGUGCGUAGGCGGCUUCUUAAGUCGGAUGUGAAAUCCCUGAGCUUAACUUAGGAAUUGCAUUCGAUACUGGGAAGCUAGAGUAUGGGAGAGGAUGGUAGAAUUCCAGGUGUAGCGGUGAAAUGCGUAGAGAUCUGGAGGAAUACCGAUGGCGAAGGCAGCCAUCUGGCCUAAUACUGACGCUCAGGUGCGAAAGCGUGGGGAGCAAACAGGAUUAGAUACCCGUGUAGUCCCUGUCUCUUAUAA